CACGUAGGGGACGAGCGUUGUCCGGAUUCAUUGGGCGUAAAGCGCGCGUAGGCGGCUCGGCAAGUCGGGCGUGAAAUGCCGGGGCUCAACCCCGGGUCGCACUGGAAACUGGUUGGCUUGAGUACAGAAGAGGAAAGUGGAAUUCCACGUGUAGCGGUGAAAUGCGUAGAGAUGUGGAGGAACACCAGUGGCGAAGGCGACUUUCUGGGCUGUAACUGACGCUGAGGCGCGAAAGCGUGGGGAGCAAACAGG
rnacentral:rRNA from 1 species